rnacentral:rRNA from 1 species
UACGAAGGGUGCAAGCGUUACUCGGAAUUACUGGGCGUAAAGCGUGCGUAGGUGGUGAGUUAAGUCUGUCGUGAAAGCCCCGGGCUCAACCUGGGAAUGGCGAUGGAUACUGGCUCGCUAGAGUGCGGUAGAGGAGAGUGGAAUUCCCGGAGUAGCAGUGAAAUGCGUAGAGAUCGGGAGGAACAUCAGUUGCGAAGGCGGCUCUCUGGACCAGCACUGACACUGAGGCACGAAAGCGUGGGGAGCAAACAGG